AGAGGGAGGUGGAAUUCCGCGUGUAGCAGUGAAAUGCGUAGAUAUGCGGAGGAACACCGAUGGCGAAGGCAGCCUCCUGGGAUAACACUGACGCUCAUGCACGAAAGCGUGGGGAGCAAACAGGAUUAGAUACCCUGGUAGUCCACGCCCUAAACGAUGUCAACUAGCUGUUGGGGCCUUCGGGCCUUGGUAGCGCAGCUAACGCGUGAAGUUGACCGCCUGGGGAGUACGGUCGCAAGAUUAAAACUCAAAGGAAUUGACGGGGACCCGCACAAGCGGUGGAUGAUGUGGAUUAAUUCGAUGCAACGCGAAAAACCUUACCUACCCUUGACAUGUCUGGAAUCCUGAAGAGAUUUGGGAGUGCUCGCAAGAGAACCGGAACACAGGUGCUGCAUGGCUGUCGUCAGCUCGUGUCGGAGAUGUGGGUUAAGUCCCGCAACGAGCGCAACCCUUGUCAUUAGUUGCUACGAAAGGGCACUCUAAUGAGACUGCCGGUGACAAACCGGAGGAAGGUGGGGAUGACGUCAAGUCCUCAUGGCCCUUAUGGGUAGGGCUUCACACGUCAUACAAUGGUCGGGACAGAGGGUCGCCAACCCGCGAGGGGGAGCCAAUCCCAGAAACCCGAUCGUAGUCCGGAUCGCAGUCUGCAACUCGACUGCGUGAAGUCGGAAUCGCUAGUAAUCGCGGAUCAGCAUGUCGCGGUGAAUACGUUCCCGGGUCUUGUACACACCGCCCGUCACACCAUGGGAGUGGGUUUUACCAGAAGUAGUUAGCCUAACCGCAAGGAGGGCGAUUACCACGGUAGGAUUCAUGACUGGGGUGAA
rnacentral:rRNA from 1 species